UACAGAGGGUGCGAGCGUUGUCCGGAAUCACUGGGCGUAAAGGGCGCGUAGGCGGCUUGGUAAGGUUGCGGUGAAAGCCCGGGGCUCAACCCCGGGUCGGCCGUGGCAACUGCUGAGCUGGAGCACUGUAGAGGCAGGUGGAAUUCCGGGUGUAGCGGUGGAAUGCGUAGAGAUCCGGAAGAACACCGGUGGCGAAGGCGGCCUGCUGGGCAGUGGCUGACGCUGAGGUGCGAAAGCGUGGGGAGCAAACAGG
rnacentral:rRNA from 1 species